rnacentral:lncRNA from 1 species
GCUUAAUUAUAAUGAACUAACAGAUAAUGUAUCAAAUGUGUUACAUGCUUUAUUGUAUGUAUAAAAAUAAUAAAUAGUAUGCUUUUAUUUAAUGUAAUUACAAAUUAGGAAAGUUCAAAAAUAUUCCCCUCACCCAUGUUAAUAUCAACUCUGAAAUUGCAAAGUGGUUUACACUUAUUUGAGUUAAUAUCAAAAAAUUCUUUUUACUGAAAAGAAAUUAUUUUCAAAUACUUUUUCAUAAUCAAUUCAAUGAAAACUCAAUUCAAACAAAUAUAUCAUUAAAAUAAUAAUAAUCUUUAAUUUCAUAUAGUGUGUAAUAACACACAGAUUUAGUAUAAAUUUUAGUAUUAAUGAUAGAGGCUCUAAAGAGCCUGUGGUCGCUCACCUUGGUCUAUGUGCAUAUUAAACAAAGGACACAAAUGGAUUCAUGACAAAAUUGUAUUUUGGUGAUGGUGAUGUGUUUGAAGUUCUUACUUUACUGAACGAUUUUGCUUCUUACAAUUAUAUCUAUAAUGAACUUUGCCCAUUAGUAAGAGA